rfam:Colletotrichum gloeosporioides Cg-14 contig02519, whole genome shotgun sequence.
GGGCGAUUGGUUUAGUGGUAUAGCGACCCCUUCGCAUGGGGUAGGUCCUAGGUUCGAUUCCUAGAUUGUCCA